rnacentral:lncRNA from 1 species
AUCGGAACUUUCCAGUCAUUCUCUCUUAAAGCCUCAAAAUUAAACCUUCAAGACAUCGUCUCUCUCAGCCUCAACCUAGAACACAUUAACCUCACCAUCGACGAACUCUGUCGGCCAGCUCCGACGAAGGAUGACUACUGCCGGUGAAUGAUGACAAGUUUCGGCUAACAUACGAGCUAUCUUAGGGAUAGGUUAUCAAUUUUUCCCAUGUUUGAUGUUUGUAUAACUAUUCGAUUUUCUAUUUAUUUUUCCCCUUAUGUUUUCUUUAUCUGAUAAUAGUUCUUGUAAACACAUUAGUUUGCUUCUUCUUUAUUUGUAUUACACAAUACAUUUAUGAUUUCUAGUUUGCAAAAUUGGGGAUUUAUUUGUUAGGUUUUGAUUUUCUGUUUGAAGCCAUGAGACUUUCUUUUUUCGAUGUUUGCUAUCGAUAUUCGUUUUCUUGGAUUUUCAGAAAAUAGUUUAUUUGCUCCUUUUUUAUUUCUCUGGUAAUAUUUGGGGGGAUUUUUUUCCUCGAGUAAUUUUAUCUUCCGUUGUCCUUUUUCUUUCUCCCUUUUUCUCCUUUUUUCUUUCUCUGGUAAUGUUCAGGAAAAUAAUUUCGCUGCCCCAAUUUCUUUGGUAAUAUUUUCUGUGUUUGCUGUUUGCAGUCAAUGUUCGAUAUUCGUUGUGAUUUCUAGUUUGCAAAAUUGGGGAUUAUUUGUUAAAUUUUGAUUUUCUGUUUCAAACCAUGCGAUUUUUGUUCGAUAUUUUCUAUCGAUGUUCGAUCUUCGAUCUUGGUUGUUCGCUUUCUUGGUUAUUCAAAAAAAUCGUUU